rnacentral:tRNA from 1 species
GAGGGUGUAGCUCAGCGGUACUGUGUGUGCUUGGCAUGCACGAGGCCCUGGGUUCAAUCCUCAGUACCUCCA